rnacentral:rRNA from 1 species
UACGGGGGGAGCAAGCGUUGUCCGGAAUCAUUGGGCGUAAAGCGCGUGUAGGCGGUCCGGUAAGUCCGCUGUGAAAGUCGGGGGCUCAACCCUCGGAUGCCGGUGGAUACUGUCGGGCUUGAGUACGGAAGAGGCGAGUGGAAUUCCUGGUGUAGCGGUGAAAUGCGCAGAUAUCAGGAGGAACACCAAUUGCGAAGGCAGCUCGCUGGGACGUUACUGACGCUGAGACGCGAAAGCGUGGGGAGCAAACAGG